GCUGGCAGCUAGCUCUCUGCAACUCUCACAUGGUCGCCCACUGAAGCUAAGCAGGGCUGCGCCCGGUCAGUACCUGGAUGGGAAACCACAUGGGAAAGCUUAGUUGCUGCCGGAA
rfam:Danio rerio chromosome 10, GRCz11 reference primary assembly.